GAGAUGUCGAUUAAUACUCGGCAAAUUUGAGAGUACCAGGUAAAGAAGCACCGGCUAACUCCGUGCCAGCAGCUGCGGUAAUACGGAGGGUGCAAGCGUUAAUCGGAUUUAUUGGGCGUAAAGAGCGCGUAGGCGGGAAUGUAAGUCAGAUGUGAAAUCCCAGAGCUCAACUCUGGAACUGCAUUUGAAACUACAUUUCUUGAGGGUAGGCGGAGAAAACGGAAUUCCAUGUGUAGCGGUGAAAUGCGUAGAUAUAUGGAAGAACACCAGUGGCGAAGGCGGUUUUCUAGCUUACUCCUGACGCUGAGGCGCGAAAGCAAGGGGAGCGAACAGGAUUAGAUACCCUGGUAGUCCUUGCCGUAAACGAUGCAUACUAGGUGUAGCCGGACUCAACCCUGGCUGUGCCGAAGCUAACGUAUUAAGUAUGCCGCCUGGGGAGUACGCUCGCAAGGGUGAAACUCAAAAGAAUUGACGGGGACCCGCACAAGCAGUGGAGCAUGUGGUUUAAUUCGAUGCAACGCGGAGAACCUUACCCAGACUUGACAUAUAGUGGACAGCCGUAGAAAUACGGUCUCCCAUAGUGGUCGCUAUACAGGUGCUGCAUGGCUGUCGUCAGCUCGUGCCGUGAGGUGUUGGGUUAAGUCCCGCAACGAGCGCAACCCUUGUCAUUAGUUGCCAGCACGUAAUGGUGGGAACUCUAAUGAGACUGCCCGGGUUAACCGNNAGGAAGGUGAGGAUGACGUCAAGUCCGCAUGGCCCUUAUGUC
rnacentral:rRNA from 1 species